rnacentral:rRNA from 1 species
UACGUAGGGGGCAAGCGUUGUCCGGAAUCAUUGGGCGUAAAGCGCGUGUAGGCGGCUUGGUAAGUCUGCUCUGAAAGCCCGGGGCUCAACCCUGGGAGGCGGGUGGAUACUGCUGAGCUCGAGUCCGGAAGAGGCGAGUGGAAUUCCUGGUGUAGCGGUGGAAUGCGCAGAUAUCAGGAGGAACACCGAUAGCGAAGGCAGCUCGCUGGGACGGUACUGACGCUGAGGCGCGAAAGCGUGGGGAGCGAACAGG